rnacentral:lncRNA from 1 species
GAACGUUUUGGAAUACGGAACACAAGAAGACUUCCUCAGGCACUGCCUGUCUGGACCACAGUGUAGGACGCGCGAAUCUGCAGCUAGGGGGAUUCUGUGAUCACAAAGAACCCGGUGCUCAGAUUGCCUGUAUCUGGAGGGAACUCACCUGAAGGAAAAGCAACCGUGCUUUCCACAGACUCCAAAUCAUCCUCACGCUCGCCGAAAGCAGGGCGACUUUCCCCAUAGAAACAGAAGGCCCAGAGCAGGUGGCACAGCCUGAGGGGGACUGAGGCCUGCAAAGUGACUCAGAAAAAGAACUGCUCUUUCAGGAUCAAUCAUGGAGCUUUCCAAGGGCAUAUUUUUCAGCACUGAGGGAAGUCGUCCCAGAGUAUUUCAUUUCCAGGUAAGGGUGACCACUAGGUUUUUCCUCAUCCAAUAUGUUCUCAGUAGCUCCUCCAGUCGUCUAAAUGUGGACUUGAAGAACAUCAGCCACAGGCCAAUUUACAACCCUUCCACAAGGGUUUAAAUUCUGUGGCCUUCCCUCUAAUAUACGGUUGUAUUCAAAUUGCUGCCUAUUUGCUUUAAAUCACUGAGACUAAUUUUCUUCUUUUUCAAAUUAAAAACCAUCCUACUUGAUAGUUUUUUAUCCUUCUGCCUCAAAUAGUAAAAAAUUAAGAUCUUUGUAAACCAUACAAUACAGGAUACUAAAAGGUGCAGAAAUGCAAACAAGGAGACAUUUUGGAAAUUUUAG